GCUGGGCGUGGUGGCGGGUGCCUGUAAUCCCAGCUACUUGGGAGGCUGAGACAGGAGAAUUGCUUGAACCCAGGAGGCAGAGGUUCCAGUGAGCUGAGAUUACACGACUGCACUCCAGCCUGGGUGACAGAGUGAGAUUCUGUCUCAA
rnacentral:SRP_RNA from 1 species